rnacentral:rRNA from 1 species
UACGUAGGUGGCGAGCGUUGUCCGGAAUUACUGGGCGUAAAGGGCGCGCAGGCGGCUCGUUAAGUUGGGCGUGAAAUCCCCUGGCUCAACUGGGGGAGGCCGUCCAAUACUGGGGGGCUUGAGUGCAGGAGAGGGAAGUGGAAUUCCCGGUGUAGCGGUGAAAUGCGUAGAUAUCGGGAAGAACACCAGUGGCGAAGGCGGCUUCCUGGACUGUAACUGACGCUGAGGCGCGAAAGCUGGGGGAGCGAACAGGAUUAGAUACCCCCGUAGUCC